rnacentral:rRNA from 1 species
GAUGAACGCUGGCUGCGUGCCUAAUACAUGCAAGUCGAGCUAAUCGGGGACGGGUGAGUAACACGUUGAUAACCUCCUAUCAGACUGGGAUAACUUCGGGAAACCGGAGCUAAACCGGAUACUUAUAGAUGGAUCCUCGCUGCAUUAGCUAGUUGGUAAGGUAACGGGUUACCAAUGCAACGAUGCAUAGCCGACCUGAAAGGGUGAGCGCCCAAACGGGACCUGAGACAAGGUCCCGACUCCGAGGAGAGGAAGGAGUAGGGUAUCUUCCGUAAUGGGCGAAAGCCUGACGGAGCAACGCCGCGUGAGUGACGAAGGUCUUCGGAUCGUAAAACUCUGUUAUUAGGGAAGCGGUAACUAAUCAGAAAGACACGGGUAACUACGUGCCAGCAGCAGCGGUAAUAC